GAGUUUGAUCCUGGCUCAGGAUGAACGCUGGCGGCGUGCUUAACACAUGCAAGUCGAACGAAACACCUUAUUUGAUUUUCUUCGGAACUGAAGAUUUGGUGAUUGAGUGGCGGACGGGUGAGUAACGCGUGGGUAACCUACCCUGUACAGGGGGAUAACAGUCAGAAAUGACUGCUAAUACCGCAUAAGACCACAGCACCGCAUGGUGCAGGGGUAAAAACUCCGGUGGUACAGGAUGGGCCCGCGUCUGAUUAGCUGGUUGGCAGGGUAACGGCCCACCAAGGCGACGAUCCAUAGCCGACCUGAGAGGGUGACCGGCCACACUGGGACUGAGACACGGCCCAGACUCCUACGGGAGGCAGCAGUGGGGAAUAUUGCGCAAUGGGGGCAACCCUGACGCAGCAACGCCGCGUGCAGGAAGAAGGUCUUCGGAUUGUAAACUGUUGUCGCAAGGGAAGAAGACAGUGACGGUACCUUGUGAGAAAGUCACGGCUAACUACGUGCCAGCCGCCGCGGUAAUUC
rnacentral:rRNA from 1 species